rnacentral:rRNA from 1 species
UACGUAGGGUGCAAGCGUUAAUCGGAAUUACUGGGCGUAAAGCGUGCGCAGGCGGUUUUGUAAGUCUGUCGUGAAAGCCCCGGGCUUAACCUGGGAAUUGCGAUGGAGACUGCAAGGCUUGAAUCUGGCAGAGGGGGGUAGAAUUCCACGUGUAGCAGUGAAAUGCGUAGAGAUGUGGAGGAACAUCGAUGGCGAAGGCAGCCCCCUGGGUCAAGAUUGACGCUCAUGCACGAAAGCGUGGGGAGCAAACAGG